GGCGCUAUAGCCAAGUGGUUACGGCGACAGAUUAGAAUUUGCAUUAUGGCUUCUCAUUCCAUCUGUUCCUCUUUGAGGGCGCAGGUUCAAAUCCUGCUGGCGUCG